rnacentral:rRNA from 1 species
GGUUGAUCCUGCCAGUAGUCAAUGCUUGUCUCAAAGAUUAAGCCAUGCAUGUCUAAGUAUAAACAACUUUUAUACUGUAAAACUGCGAACGGCUCUUUAUAUCAGCAAUAAUUUAUUUGAUGGUUUCUUGCUACAUGGAUAACUGUAGUAAUUUUAGAGCUAAUAGAUGUAUUUAUUAGAUAAAAAACCAAUGCGGGUUCUGCUCGCCUUUGUGUUGAAUCAUACUAACUUUUCGAACGACAUAGCCUUGUGCUGGCCGUAGAUCGUUCAAAUUUCUGCCCUAUCAGCUGUC